GAGUUUGAUCCUGGCUCAGGAUGAACGCUAGCGGCAGGCUUAAUACAUGCAAGUCGAACGGGAGAGGGUUAGCAAUAGCCUUCGAGAGUGGCGCACGGGUGCGUAACGCGUAUGCAACCUACCUUUAACAGGGGGAUAGCCCGGAGAAAUUCGGAUUAACACCCCAUAGUAUUGAGAUAAGGCAUCUUAUUUUGAUUAAAACUCUGGUGGUUAAAGAUGGGCAUGCGUACCAUUAGCUAGUUGGUGAGGUAAUGGCUCACCAAGGCGACGAUGGUUAGGGGUUCUGAGAGGAUUAUCCCCCACACUGGUACUGAGACACGGACCAGACUCCUACGGGAGGCAGCAGUAAGGAAUAUUGGUCAAUGGACGCAAGUCUGAACCAGCCAUGCCGCGUGCAGGAAGACGGCCUUAUGGGUUGUAAACUGCUUUUGUCAGGGAAUAAACCCUCGCUUGCGAGCGGGGCUGAAGGUACCUGAAGAAUAAGCAUCGGCUAACUCCGUGCCAGCAGCCGCGGUAA
rnacentral:rRNA from 1 species